UCCCCUUGCCCCUCCUCUGGUCAAUCCCUUCUGGAUCCAGGGCCUCGCCCUCGACGCCGAUCGCCGCCUUCGGCGCCACCUCGGCGCUAUGUCGCCCCUUGACGUCGCCGGCGUCGCUCGAUGCCCCGUCGCUCCACUCGGUCCCGAUCUGGAUUGGGGCACGCAACCCGCGCCCUGGUGCCUCAUUGUUCGCCUGUCGUCCUUGUCGCCGUCGCUCGGAGGACCACCUCGCCGGAGCUUCCCCUCCCGUGGGAUCUGGAUCAGCACCCGAGCCGAUCCCCGGUGCCAGCGCUCGCCACCACUCCGCCGUCGACUACUGGAUCCCGCUUCCUCGCCGGAUCUCCACCCCGCCGUUGCUCGUCCCCAUCCUCCUCAUCACCAGCCUCCGAUGAGCCCCACCGCCCCCUCUUCUCGGCAACGUUGGAUCCAGAUGCCACCGUCGAUGAUGACUCCUACUACACUAGAGGUGCCUACUACUACGUGCAAGCCGCUGAUGAUGACUAGGAGUAGUUUUGGAGGAUCCCAGGCAGGAGGCGUGCGCCUCUGUCUAUCUGUAUCCCAGUUUGUGUUAGCCAUCUUAUGGCAACUUGUUUAACUUAUGUCUGUACUCAGAUAUUGUUGGUUUUGCUGACUCAUUUAUGUCGAGCACUUGAAUUCGAUCCCUCGAGGCCCCUGGCUUGUAAUAUCAUGCUUGUAUGACAUAUUUUACUUUUAGAGUUGUGUUGUGAUAUCUUCCCGUGA